rnacentral:sRNA from 1 species
GCUGGGCAUGGUAGCGCAUGCCUGUAAUCCCAGGAGCUCGGGAGGCUGAGGCAGGGGGAUCACAAGUUCAAAGCCAGCCUCAGCAACAGCAAGGCACUAAGCAACUCAGUGAGACCCUGUCUCCA